rnacentral:rRNA from 1 species
GCACCCGCACAAGCAGUGGAGCAUGCUGUUUAAUUCGAAGAUACGCGAAGAACCUUACCAGGGCUUGACAUCCCACUGACCGCUCUAGAAAUAGAGUUUUUCCUUCGGGGACAGUGGUGACAGGUGGUGCAUGGUUGUCGUCAGCUCGUGUCGUGAGAUGUUCGGUUAAGUCCGAUAACGAGCGCAACCCUUCUCUCUAAUUGCUAACAUUCAGUUGAGAACCUUAGAGAUACUGCCGGUGACAAACCGGAGGAAGGUGGGGAUGACGUCAAAUCAUCAUGCCCCUUACGUCCUGGGCUACAGGCGUGCUAUAAUGGCAGAUAUAAUAAGUCGCAAUACCGUGAGGUGGAGCUAAUCUCCAAAGUCUGUCUCAGUUCGGAUUGAAGUCUGCAACUCGACUUCAUGAAGCUAGAAUUGCUAGUAAUCGUGGAUCAGAAUGCCACGGUGAAUACGUUCCCGGGUGUU